ACGUACACUCCUGCGGGAGGCAGCAGUGGGGAAUAUUGGACAAUGGGCGCAAGCCUGAUCCAGCCAUGCCGCGUGAGUGAUGAAGGCCCUAGGGUUGUAAAGCUCUUUCACCGGUGAAGAUAAUGACGGUAACCGGAGAAGAAGCCCCGGCUAACUUCGUGCCAGCAGCCGCGGUAAUACGAAGGGGGCUAGCGUUGUUCGGAUUUACUGGGCGUAAAGCGCACGUAGGCGGACUAUUAAGUCAGGGGUGAAAUCCCGGGGCUCAACCCCGGAACUGCCUUUGAUACUGGUAGUCUUGAGUUCGAGAGAGGUGAGUGGAAUUCCGAGUGGAGAGGUGAAAUUCGUAGAUAUUCGGAGGAACACCAGUGGCGAAGGCGGCUCACUGGCUCGAUACUGACGCUGAGGUGCGAAAGCGUGGGGAGCAAACAGGAUUAGAAACCCGUGUAGUCCC
rnacentral:rRNA from 1 species